rnacentral:rRNA from 1 species
AACGAACGCUGGCGGCGUGCUUAACACAUGCAAGUCGAGCGGUAAGGCCCUUUCGGGGGUACACGAGCGGCGAACGGGUGAGUAACACGUGGGUGACCUGCCCUCAGCUCUGGGAUAAGCCUGGGAAACCGGGUCUAAUACCGGAUAUGACUCCAUGACGCAUGUUGUGGGGUGGAAAGCCUUGUGCGGCUGAGGAUGGGCCCGCGGCCUAUCAGCUUGUUGGUGGGGUGAUGGCCUACCAAGGCGACGACGGGUAGCCGGCCUGAGAGGGCGACCGGCCACACUGGGACUGAGACACGGCCCAGACUCCUACGGGAGGCAGCAGGUGGGGAAUCUUGCGCAAUGGGCGAAAGCCUGACGCAGCGACGCCGCGUGAGGGAUGACGGCCU